rnacentral:rRNA from 1 species
GUGCCAGCAGCCGCGGUAAGACGAACCGUGCGAACGUUGUUCGGAUUCACUGGGCUUAAAGGGCGCGUAGGCGGCUCGCCAAGUCAGGGGUGAAAUCUUUCGGCUUAACCGGAAAAGUGCUUCUGAUACUGGCGGGCUGGAGGGGGGUAGGGGCGGACGGAACUUCCGGUGGAGCGGUGAAAUGCGUAGAUAUCGGAAGGAACGCCGGUGGCGAAAGCGGUCCGCUGGACCCCCACUGACGCUGAGGCGCGAAAGCCAGGGGAGCAAACGGGAUUAGAUACCCCCGUAGUCC